GGGGAAUUUUCCGCAAUGGGCGCAAGCCUGACGGAGCAAUACCGCGUGAGGGAGGAAGCCUUUUGGGGUGUAAACCUCUUUUAUUAGGGAAGAAUUGAUGACGGUACCUAAUGAAUCAGCAUCGGCUAACUCCGUGCCAGCAGCCGCGGUAAUACGGAGGAUGCAAGCGUUAUCCGGAAUCAUUGGGCGUAAAGCGUCCGUAGGUGGCUUUAUAAGUCUUUUGUCAAAUCGUGCAGCUUAACUGCAUACGGGCGGAGGAAACUAUAGAGCUAGAGUGCGAUAGGGGUUACAGGAAUUCCCAGUGUAGCGGUGAAAUGCGUAGAUAUUGGGAAGAACACCAGCGGCGAAAGCGUGUGACUGGGUCUGCACUGACACUGAGGGGCGAAAGCUAGGGGAGCGAAAGGGAUUAGAUACCCCUGUAGUCCUAGCCGUAAACGAUGACAACUAGGUGUGGUUCGUAUCGACCCGAGCCGUGCCGUAGCCAACGCGUUAAGUUGUCCGCCUGGGGAGUACGCACGCAAGUGUGAAACUCAAAGGAAUUGACGGGGGCCCGCACAAGCGGUGGAGUAUGUGUUUUAAUUCGAUGCAACGCGAAGAACCUUACCAAGGCUUGACAUCCUCGGAACCUUCUUGAAAGGGAGGGGUGCCUUCGGGAACCGAGAGACAGGUGGUGCAUGGCUGUCGUCAGCUCGUGUCGUGAGAUGUUGGGUUAAGUCCCGCAACGAGCGCAACCCACGUUUUUAGUUGCCAGCAUUUAGUUGGGCACUCUAGAGAGACUGCCGGUGACAAACCGGAGGAAGGUGUGGAUGACGUCAAGUCAGCAUGCCCCAUACGCCUUGGGCUACACACGUACUACAAUGCGUUGGACAAAGAGCCGCCAGCCCGCGAGGGUGAGCCAAUCUCAUAAACCAGCGCUCAGUUCAGAUUGCAGGCUGCAACUCGCCUGCAUGAAGGCGGAAUCGCUAGUAAUCGCAGGUCAGCAUACUGCGGUGAAUACGUUCCCGGGCCU
rnacentral:rRNA from 1 species